ACCCGCACAAGCGGUGGAUGAUGUGGAUUAAUUCGAUGCAACGCGAAAACCUUACCUACCCUUGACAUGUCCGGAAUCCCGAAGAGAUUUGGGAGUGCUCGCAAGAGGACCGGAACACAGGUGCUGCAUGGCUGUCGCCAGCUCGUGUCGUGAGAUGUUGGGUUAAGUCCCGCAACGAGCGCAACCCUUGUCAUUAGUUGCCAUCAUUUGGUUGGGCACUCUAAUGAGACUGCCGGUGACAAACCGGAGGAAGGUGGGGAUGACGUCAAGUCCUCAUGGCCCUUAUGGGUAGGGCUUCACACGUCAUACAAUGGUCGGUACAGAGGGUUGCCAAGCCGCGAGGCGGAGCCAAUCCCACAAAGCCGAUCGUAGUCCGGAUUGUUCUCUGCAACUCGAGAGCAUGAAGUCGGAAUCGCUAGUAAUCGCAGGUCAGCAUACUGCGGUGAAUACGUUCCCGGGCCUU
rnacentral:rRNA from 1 species